rnacentral:rRNA from 1 species
AAUCUAUCCUAUACUGGGGGAUAGCCCGAUGAAAGUUGGAUUAAUACCGCAUAUAGCUAUAUAGUUGCAUGAUUAUGUAGUGAAAGAUUUAUUGGUAUAGGAGGAGUCUGCGGCACAUUAGCUAGUAGGUGAGGUAAAGGCUUACCUAGGCGACGAUGUGUAGCCGGUCUGAGAGGAUGAACGGCCACAAUGGAACUGAGACACGGUCCAUACUCCUACGGGAGGCAGCAGUGGGGAAUAUUGCACAAUGGGGGAAACCCUGAUGCAGCAACGCCGCGUGAGUGAAGAAGGUUUUCGGAUUGUAAAGCUCUGUUAGCAGGGAAGAGGAAGGACGGUACCUGCAGAGGAAGCCACGGCUAACUACGUGCCAGCAGCCGCGGUAAUACGUAGGUGGCAAGCGUUGUUCGGAAUAACUGGGCGUAAAGGAUGCGUAGGCGGUUAAACAAGUUAUAUGUUAAAUAUAUAGGCUUAACCUGUAGAAAGCAUAUAAAACUGUUUAACUAGAGUGCAGGAGAGGUAAGUGGAAUUCCUAGUGUAGCGGUGAAAUGCGUAAAGAUUAGGAAGAACACCAGUGGCGAAGGCGACUUACUGGACUGUAACUGACGCUGAGGCAUGAGAGCAUGGGGAGCAAACAGGA